AUUCUUAGAUGCUUGCAAAUUAUGUGUUUUGCACGUUUAAAUCUGCAGGAGGUUUUGUGCUGAAAGUUUCCUUAUUUUCUGCAGCGGGUUUAGCCCUAAUAAAACUGCAGUGAAAACCUUGCCAUUAAGCGGAAGUAUGGGUACAUUUUUUUUUUGCUCAACUUUAUUGAUUGCAAAUCUACUAUCCCUUUAUCCCUACAAAAACAUGAGGGGCAGAUCCAAAUCAUUGGCUACUUAUUAUUGAUGAGUGAAGGAGAGUCCGUAGGCCGUCUUUUGGUUUCAUUGGUUCCACCCCUCGAGAGAAUUGUAACUACACUGAUUCUUUUCCGUCGCCUUUGCUUUGUACGUGCUCCCCUCCACGAAAAACCAGCGUACUCCCUUCCAUGCUUCUAGUCUAGGCCAAAGGAAACCAGCGGCAAAAGACCCGUAAGAAAAACCAUAACGCCUUUUCUUUGUUUGGAUAGUGCAAUGGGGGCGACGUCCAACCUCUUUUGCGGGAGCGUUGGUCGCCUUUUCUUUGUCUGUUUGGAUAGUGCAAUGGGGACGACGUCCAACCUCUUUUGCAGGGGCGUUGGUCAUGCGUCCAACAUGAGGACACAUCUUGUCCAGGCUAUAUGUGAAAUUCGUAAUUUUAAAAUGUGGCUGUAGAUUCUUUGUCCGUUUGGAUAGUGCAAUGGUGAUGGCGUCCAACCUCUUUUACGGGCAUGCUGGUCAUGUGUCUAACAGACACACGAGGGUGCAUCUCAACCGCAUCUUGUUCGGGCUAUACGUGAAAUUCGCAAUUUUAAAACGCGGAUAUAGAUCCAUGCCAGCGCCCUUAGUUCAGGCCGGCAAACAGAUGCUAGCCUACAAAAUGGUAAAGCCAGAUUCACGACAACAAAGUCAGCGGCCGUCACAAUAGCCAGCCUCUAAAAUGAACAAGUUCUGCAUGCUGACAACAAAGCCAGCGGCUAACCCAUUAGCCAGCCUUCAAAAAGACCAUAGUUUAUGGUUGCACAGCCUAGUCCUCCCUACUCCACGCUGUCUUGC
rnacentral:lncRNA from 1 species